rnacentral:rRNA from 1 species
UACGUAGGGGGCUAGCGUUGCUCGGAAUCACUGGGCGUAAAGCGCACGUAGGCGGCUUUCUAAGUCAGGGGUGAAAUCCUGGAGCUCAACUCCAGAACUGCCUUUGAUACUGGAAAGCUUGAGUUCGGGAGAGGUGAGUGGAACUGCGAGUGUAGAGGUGAAAUUCGUAGAUAUUCGCAAGAACACCAGUGGCGAAGGCGGCUCACUGGCCCGAUACUGACGCUGAGGUGCGAAAGCGUGGGGAGCAAACAGG